UUAACUCAAAGUUGUAUGGAGUUGUAACGUUUGCGUACGUUUGCCGCUAGGGGCGCUGUACCUACUCCAUACAAAUUGGAGUUA
rnacentral:pre_miRNA from 1 species